rnacentral:misc_RNA from 1 species
UCCCCGUUUUCCGGGGCAGUCUCUGUAGAGUUCCCGGCAUGACCCGUUGGCAACUACAGACGAGGGUUGCGCUCGUUGCGGGACUUAACCCAACAUCUCACGACACGAGCUGACGACAGCCACGCAGCACCUGUACAGGAGUCCCGAAGGAGGGCCGAGGUUUCCCCCAUCUCUGGAGCGGUCCUCCGUUGUCUAGCCCAGGUAAGGUUCUUCGCGUUGCGUCGAAUUGAACCACAUGCUCCACCGCUUGUGCGGGCCCCCGUCAAUUCCUUUGAGUUUUAGCCUUGCGGCCGUACUCCCCAGGCGGGGUGCUUAAUGCGUUAGCUUCGGCACGGGGGGAGUCGACACCCCCCACACCUAGCACCCAUCGUUUACGGCGUGGACUAC